GGCAAGUUGUUCUUGUCCUUUAAUAAUUCUCCUCUUCUUUCUUUUCGUCAACUUUCCCCUUCUUCAUUACUUUUUCUUUCUUUCUUCUUCCUUCCGCCCAAGUCACGAUCAGGGAAGAAGAGUGAGAGGGAGAGAAUAGGGAGAGCAUAGACGAGAUGAGACAGAGACAGAAGAAGAGUGAGAGAUCGGUAGGGGGAGUUGAACCCGGAAGACCCAUCAAACUGGUGCGACCCGCGACCGCGAGACAAACCCGACGGAUCCGGGAGAACCCGUGCGACCCGAACCUCCUGGAGGUUCGAUCCUCCAUGUCCGGCGGCCAGAUGCCGAUUUCCGGCGAGCUAAGGUGACUUUCCGGCCGAUCCACGAAGCCCGAAGCCCCUGACCCGAAAACCCGACCCGGUGACCUGACGACCCGAGAGGAAGACCCGGUUAUUCCUGUGCAUUUUCCGGUGGCUUUUCCGGCGAAGUCGGUGGCUUUUCCGGUGAAAGAUCCUUGGGGUAAAAGCUUGAUCCCGAUGCUAAUGGAAAGUCCAAGUUAUGAGCAGAGCAACCUAGGCGGCCGGGAUGGGAUCUAGGAAUGCAUUAGAACAUUGCAAUUAUGUUACCUUAAUAAGUGCACUUGCACAACAAAUUUAGCUUUCUUUAAAUUCUCAGUUAUUGAAUCUCUAAAAAUUAAAUUUUCUAAA